UACGGGAGGCAGCAGUAGGGAAUCUUCCACAAUGGACGCAAGUCUGAUGGAGCAACGCCGCGUGAGUGAAGAAGGGUUUCGGCUCGUAAAGCUCUGUUGUUAAAGAAGAACGUGGGUAAGAGUAACUGUUUACCCAGUGACGGUAUUUAACCAGAAAGCCACGGCUAACUACGUGCCAGCAGCCGCGGUAAUACGUAGGUGGCAAGCGUUAUCCGGAUUUAUUGGGCGUAAAGCGAGCGCAGGCGGUCUUUUAAGUCUAAUGUGAAAGCCUUCGGCUCAACCGAAGAAGUGCAUUGGAAACUGGGAGACUUGAGUGCAGAAGAGGACAGUGGAACUCCAUGUGUAGCGGUGAAAUGCGUAGAUAUAUGGUAGAACACCAGUGGCGAAGGCGGCUGUCUGGUCUGCAACUGACGCUGAGGCUCGAAAGCAUGGGUAGCGAACAGGAUUAGAUACCCUGGUAGUCCAUGCCGUAAACGAUGAUUACUAAGUGUUGGAGGGUUUCCGCCC
rnacentral:rRNA from 1 species